UACGAAGGGGGCUAGCGUUGUUCGGAAUUACUGGGCGUAAAGGGCGCGUAGGCGGUCCUGAUCGUCGGAUGUGAAAGGCCUGGGCUCAACCCUGGGAUGCCGGUGGAUACUGUCGGGCUCGAGUCCGGAAGAGGAGUGUGGAAUUCCUGGUGUAGCGGUGAAAUGCGCAGAUAUCGGGAGGAACACCAGUAGCGAAGGCGGCUCGCUGGGCCUUCCUGACGCUGAGACGCGAAAGCUAGGGGAGCGAACAGG
rnacentral:rRNA from 1 species